rnacentral:rRNA from 1 species
UACGUAGGGUGCAAGCGUUAUCCGGAAUUAUUGGGCGUAAAGAGCUCGUAGGCGGUUUGUCGCGUCUGCUGUGAAAACCCGAGGCUCAACCUCGGGCCUGCAGUGGGUACGGGCAGACUAGAGUGCGGUAGGGGAGAUUGGAAUUCCUGGUGUAGCGGUGGAAUGCGCAGAUAUCAGGAGGAACACCGAUGGCGAAGGCAGCAGACUGGGGCACUCGUGACACUGAAACAUGAAAGCGUGGGUAGCGAAUGGG